AGCCCCGCAAGGGGUGAGUAGAGUGGCAAACGGGUGAGUAACACGUGGGUGACCUGCCUUCGAGCGGGGGAUAACGUCCCGAAAGGGACGCUAAUACCGCAUGACAUCCUGCGUUUGGAAACGCGGUGACUAAAGCCGGGGAUCGCAAGACCUGGCGCUUGAAGAGGGGCCCGCGCCUGAUUAGCUAGUUGGUGAGGUAACGGCUCACCAAGGCGACGAUCAGUAGCCGGCCUGAGAGGGCGGACGGCCACACUGGGACUGAGACACGGCCCAGACUCCUACGGGAGGCAGCAGUGGGGAAUUGUUCGCAAUGGGCGCAAGCCUGACGACGCAACGCCGCGUGGAGGACGAAGAUCUUCGGGUCGUAAACUCCUUUCGAUCGGGAAGAACGGCCUCCGGGUGAACAAUCCGGGGGAGUGACGGUACCGAGAGAAGAAGCCCCGGCUAACUCCGUGCCAGCAGCCGCGGUAAUACGGGGGGGGCAAGCGUUGUUCGGAAUUACUGGGCGUAAAGGGCCAGUAGGCGGCCAACUAAGUCCGACGUGAAAUCCCCAGGCUUAACUUGGGAACUGCGUCGGAUACUGGAUGGCUUGAAUUCGGGAGAGGGAUGCAGAAUUCCAGGUGUAGCGGUGAAAUGCGUAGAUAUCUGGAGGAAUACCGGUGGCGAAGGCGGCAUCCUGGACCGACAUUGACGCUGAACGGCGAAAGCUAGGGGAGCAAACGGGAUUAGAUACCCCGGUAGUCCUAGCCCUAAACGAUGAAUGCUUGGUGUGACGGGUAUCGAUCCCUGUCGUGCCGAAGCUAACGCAUUAAGCAUUCCGCCUGGGGAGUACG
rnacentral:rRNA from 1 species